CUGGUUCUUCAUUGAAUGUUACAAGAGCGCUUCCAUUUUGGCCAAACUGUAUAUCACAGACCUCCAUUUUUGCUCUUACUUCGAUGUAAUUCCACAAACUGUCUUUGCUUGUCUUUGGGUCUAUAUUUUCUACAUAUAGUUUCUUCCUGUUCGGAGGAAGAAAUAAUUCUGGUCGCUUUUCUUUAAAUUGCAAAAGAUAUCCUUCAAGUUCCAGUUUAACAUUCCUUAAAACUCGUGCCGCCACUAAAAAUAAUAAUAAAAAAACAAAAUAUACCAUCAGACCUACAGUAGGCUGUUGCGGCAUAUCAAUAUACCGAUAAUUAUCGGCUUUUUAUGAAUACCGAUUACUCGAUAUUGAAAUUUUCGAUAUAUCGGAAUAUCGAUAUUUUUC